AGAAUAUAAUGAUCCCUACGAUGGACAACCUGAAAGUAACCCAGAGAUUUUAUAAUGAACUGACGGGAAUACAGUACGGACGAAUGGAAGCACCAAAAGGAUGGACUUUGGAAGUUUGACGAAAAAAUGGAGCAAACAGCACCACUGAAGCAUGUUUGAAGAAUUUUUUCAUGUAUGGUACUGUAAAUUGUCAAAAUGAGGCUUUGUCACAUCAAGUAAUGGCAGCCAUGACAGGAGGCGCAACAACAAAGCCUUCCUCUUUUGGGAAACUGAAUGCUUCCUCGUAUAAGCCAGAUUAGACCAGAUUUAAUAGUCCAGUAAAUCACAAUCAGAAAAUCCCGUUGACAUCUUGAAAGGUAGUCGUGCCUUUGCAUCGAAGCUAGACGAACGGUGAGCUUGCAAUGAUAGAGACAUGUGAAUAAUUGUCUAAGGUGUUAAAAAAGGUCUCUAUCAUUGCAAGCUCACCGUUCGUCUAGCUUCGAUGCAAAGGCACGACUACCUUUCAAGAUGGCGCCGGGAACUGUUGUGAAAGGGACUAUUGUUUGUUACCGCCUCCUGUGACGGCUGCCAUCUCAUGAUGACGCAAAGCCCCUAAAAUAAUUGUCGAGAACACCUCUAAACAUUUUCCUCUUAGCGUGUAGUAAGAAACGUCCUGGCAACUCUAGAAGAUGUAGCGAAAUUUGUUUUCUGCCAGUAGGACAUUUUAAAGACGUUUAACAGUAAAAUAGAUGAAGUAAACCGUAUCGCAGUUUGAAAAUAAAGAUUGAAAAACACUCAA